CCCUAUGGGACGAAAGUCUGACGGAGCAACGCCGCGUGAGUGAUGAAGGCUUUCGGGUCGUAAAACUCUGUUGUUAGGGAAGAACAAGUGCUAGUUGAAUAAGCUGGCACCUUGACGGUACCUAACCAGAAAGCCACGGCUAACUACGUGCCAGCAGCCGCGGUAAUACGUAGGUGGCAAGCGUUAUCCGGAAUUAUUGGGCGUAAAGCGCGCGCAGGUGGUUUCUUAAGUCUGAUGUGAAAGCCCACGGCUCAACCGUGGAGGGUCAUUGGAAACUGGGAGACUUGAGUGCAGAAGAGGAAAGUGGAAUUCCAUGUGUAGCGGUGAAAUGCGUAGAGAUAUGGAGGAACACCAGUGGCGAAUGCUACUUUCUGGUCUGUAACUGACACUGAGGCGCGAAAGCGUGGGGAGCAAACAGGAUUACAUACCCUGGUAGUCCACGCCGUAAACGAUGAGUGCUAAGUGUUAUAGGGUUUCCGCCCUUUAGUGCUGAAGUUAACGCAUUAAGCACUCCGCCUGGGGAGUACGGCCGCAAGGCUGAAACUCAAAGGAAUUGACGGGGGCCCCGCACAAGA
rnacentral:rRNA from 1 species